UGUGAUCAAGAUCAGACUACCA
rnacentral:miRNA from 1 species